GAUGAACGCUGGCGGCGUGCCUAAUACAUGCAAGUCGAGCGAACAGACGAGGAGCUUGCUCCUCUGACGUUAGCGGCGGACGGGUGAGUAACACGUGGAUAACCUACCUAUAAGACUGGGAUAACUUCGGGAAACCGGAGCUAAUACCGGAUAAUAUAUUGAACCGCAUGGUUCAAUAGUGAAAGACGGUUUUGCUGUCACUUAUAGAUGGAUCCGCGCCGCAUUAGCUAGUUGGUAAGGUAACGGCUUACCAAGGCAACGAUGCGUAGCCGACCUGAGAGGGGGGACCGCCCACCCUGGACCGGGGACACGGUCCAGCCUCCAAGGGAAGGCAGCGGUAGGAAACCUCCCGAAAGGGCCGAAAGCCUGCCGAGCCACCGCGGGGUGGGUGAUGAAGGUCUUCGGUUCGUAAACCUCUGUUAUUAGGAAAGACAAAAUGUGUAAGUAACUAUGCACGUCUGGCCGGUCCCUAACAAGAAAGCCACGCUUACUACGUG
rnacentral:rRNA from 1 species